AGAGAAGAAGAUGGAAAGACCUGGGAGUCCUGCACCUGGUACUGAGGUGAGAAGACAUCGCCAGGAGAAGGAAUAUGGAUAACAUAGAUGCCAAAACCUCCAUGUCAGAGCAGCAAGAUCUAUCUGUGGUAUUUGCAGUCACGUAAUUGCUUUUGCUGUUUUUCUGUAUUUUACAUUACAAAGGAGGUUCAAAAUAUAUCUGAAGUAGAAGUAUGUGCCAAACAUACAGCAGAAAAAUUCACUGAAAGAAAUAGAAAUAGAAAAAAACACGCAAACCACAGCAUGGGGCAAUCUUCCCAAGCAACAGCAGAAUCUAAUCAGGGUUGCCUAAUUUUUUUCCCACUCAAAACAAACGCUUUCAAAUUAGAAGGGUUUAAGACUGUAGGAAGGACAGACUAUUCACACCCCACCUCCUUAUUUUAAUAUUAUCUUUUUUUACACAACUUUGGAAACCUAGCAUGCCGACCUUGGUUAAUUCCUGUGAAUCAUACAAGCCUUAAUUGGUUUUGGAAGGGUCUCCAGAUCUCUCUAGAAAAGGUUAAGCAUUAUUUAUUUGCCUUCGUUACUAUCCAAACCUAUGUGAUUUCUGAACAGGUUUGACAUUCAAACUAAUUAAGGAUAAGCAAAAGAGGAAAAAAGCCUUUAUAUGAGUUCUAAACAAAAAUUUACAAAAGAAAGAAAUGUAAAGCAGUAAUGGCAAAAGCCAUAUAUUAUAUAACACCCCUGCACCAUUCUUCUUUAGUAUAGAAGAGCUGCAGAAUGCCUCUUGCUAGUUCCUGUGUUUAUGAGAUCCAAUCUGAAAGAGGGUAAGAGUUGUGUCGGUUCUUUUCUAGCUUUAAGGCACAUGGUAACCGUAUCGUUGUCAUUAUUUUCUAAAAUAAUAGAUGAGUUUUGAUUUUGUUUCAUUUACAAGAUGUCAUUCAUAUAUGAAAUAUUCUGAAAGUACAGCUCUUUCUCUACCAAAGUGUGAGAACUAGGUUCCUGCAUGGUGAUCUCCCUGCAGUCAUGGCCUCCUCAACCCCUCCGCUUGCUGCAAAGAACGGGAGACGUCUGAGGUGUUGAUUAACAAACUAAAAGGAAGGAUUCCUCACUAUGUCUGAAUGCUCCUUCUCAUCAUUUAAAAGAAGUCAGAGGUAAAUACUACAUGUCUACCUGUUUACUUACAGGUGUUUGAAACUUCUCUUUCUCUUUAGAGUGUUGCAAUGAGAAGCCAUAACAAAAUAAAACUCGGGGAAAAAAAACAAAAACGACAGUGUAAGUAGUACUAUUUUAGAUGACAUUAGAGUCCAGGGCAAGGGAAUGAAAUAAAUAAAGUUUGAGGAUUGAAAAUCUGAACCUCUCCUUGCAGGCUGUGUGAGUCCAGGAACUAAUAAACAUCUUUUGAUCAUCUGGACACCAGGAAAGUUCAUGCAUAACCUGAAGGUUCAUAAAUUAUAAAAGAUAUUUUCUUAAGCUGAUUUUAAUGAAGAACAAGAGCUUUUAUAGGUUAGACUUUGAAUGGGAAAAGGUUAAUGUAGACAGUAAUUACUGAUCUGUGAAUACUGCUGGAAAUACUGUACUAUUCUGCAUGCUUAUUUGGGCUACUUCUAUGUAGGAAAAUAAUUCAACGCUUUUAUGGAAUCACUAUAAUAUUCAGAAACACAAACACAUGUUUGCUGGGUCUGGUGGUUAUGUAAGGAGGCACUUAAAAUAAUCCAGAAGAAUGGUGAAAAGGGCUUUUUCCAUUCUUCAUAAAUGUCAGCACUGUAAAAGGGGAUACGAAUAUAAAAAAUUUGUUUAAUGCAAUUCUUUGCUGCAAGUGGUAGAUUUCUACCUUCAGAAAGUGUCAGCUUUGUAGAAAAGGCUCUGAGAGACCUUGGGGACAAUCAGCUGACAUCAAGUCUGUAGUGUGCCCUUGCAGCAAUGAGGCCAGUUUUACUUGAGCAGUAUUAUAAGGAGCAUAGCAAGCAGCUAAAGAGAAAAUCUUUCUUGAUGGAUGAUGGCUAUAUUUAAAUAUCAUGCACUGAUCAACAAGUCUUCUUAAAAAAGUAGUGGUCUGUCCAUAGAGUAUUGAUCCAGUAGCAAGAUAAUUGUUGACUAAUUUCUCGUUUUCUUUUAGUUGAUAAUAAUACAGAAAAUUCAGUGCACCUGAGUGCAAUAUGAGCAUCUUUAUUGAAUUCAUUCUUCAUGCAAGUCCUUCUCAAAAUCAAAAGUGUGUUCUAUACAGUGUCAUAUUACUGAGGUGUAUUUGGAGAAAUUAUUAAGUGGGAAAAGUAUGAUUUUUUUCUAUGCUAUACCCCUACUCAUGUUUGUUGAAAUCUAAAAUGAAUGUAAUCUCAAUGUUAAGAAAAUUAAGUAUCUAAAUUAUAUGUGUACUUAAUAUUACUUGAAGCAAUGAGCC